UGGUGUCUCCUCCCAGUCUCUCACCGCCUACGAGCAUCACCACUGUGCUCCCUUGCCAGUCCCUGCUAGAUGAGCCAUGCCGGUCUGCUGCCGAGUCCCCACCAAAGCACAAAAGUUCGUCGAAAGUCCAAGGCACAAAGCAGCUGGCUCUGCAGCAGCCAACACCCUGGGCUAGCGGGGGACCAGCCAGAGCCUGCAUCCCCCAGCCCUGGCUGCUCCUCCUCUGAUGGGUGCCAGACAGCCUUGGGUUGGGCGGGCGCCUGAGAUCACUGCCUGACCUCACCAGGGCGGUGAUCUGGGCUCAGGGACCCCCGCCCCCGGCACAGCACCUGAGCCGGCUUCCACUACCCACCCUGCAGGGCUGUGCACAGGGCUGCGGGUCAUUCACUGCUGUGCUAGGGUUGUGUCUGCAAUGGGACUGUAAAUGAGCUGUUUCUCAUUAGGGCAGUGAAAGCUCCCUUCUGGGCUGAUCCCUGUGGCCUCCAGGGAGCUCAGGAAUGCUUUUUCUCAGUUGUGCUCUCCAGCUGCCAAAGGGCGCAAGAUGAGAUGACCCUCCUCUCUCCACAUCCCUGCCCUGCCUGCAUUCUGAGCAUGCAAACACAGGGGCUGACCCUGUGCGCUGAUAAGGAGGGAGGGAUCUUUAUUUUCCUGUCAUGAGCACAGGUCCAAGGCUGGAGAAAAACUUGCCUGCCCAUCCCAUGAGGUUUUGAUGUAGGUCUGGUACACCCUCUCCUCUGGAGUGGGGACAACUGGGGAGGGCAGCUGGGUGAAAUGCAUGAGCAGGGCUUUUACCAGCCAGGGUCCUGAGCACAGACUUCUGUAUAAGACUGAGACUGAAGAAAAAUAGGUACACCUCUUACGUGAUUUGCAAUAAAAUGCUGAUUUCAGGGACAGCACCAACAUUCCUCUUCUCCCAGCCACAGGGAUCCCAGGAAGCUGCUUUACAUUGCCCAGGAAGAAGCAGUAUCAUAAAUGAUGGGAGAGGAAGGAGAAAUGGGAGGAUCCUGCCCCUCUGGCAAGACUUCUGAACAGAGAUGGCUGAGUUUGGGGAUGGAGGAAGGACAGGGAAACUUCUCAAGGUCUCCACCAGUGACGUUUGUCAUUCCUAUGCUAGAGGUUUAAUUGAGAUCCCCGUUAAGUCUUUCUCCAACAGCUUUCUGCUCAAGUGGUGUGUUAUGUUAGUGCUUACAUUGUAAAUAGUAAUAAUCAUGAUAAUAAUCAAGAGGGCUGUUCAGCAAG